AUCAAUAAGCGGAGGAAAAGAAACCAACAGGGAUUGCCCUAGUAACGGCGAGUGAAGCGGCAACAGCUCAAAUUUGAAAUCUGGCGUCUUUGGCGUCCGAGUUGUAAUUUGCAGAGGGCGCUUUGGCAUUGGCAGCGGUCCAAGUUCCUUGGAACAGGACGUCACAGAGGGUGAGAAUCCCGUACGUGGUCGCUAGCCUUUACCGUGUAAAGCCCCUUCGACGAGUCGAGUUGUUUGGGAAUGCAGCUCUAAAUGGGAGGUAAAUUUCUUCUAAAGCUAAAUACUGGCCAGAGACCGAUAGCGCACAAGUAGAGUGAUCGAAAGAUGAAAAGCACUUUGGAAAGAGAGUUAAAAAGCACGUGAAAUUGUUGAAAGGGAAGCGCUUGCAGCCAGACUUGCCUGUAGUUGCUCAUCCGGGUUUUUACCCGGUGCACUCUUCUACGGGCAGGCCAGCAUCAGUUUGGGCGGUUGGAUAAAGGUCUCUGUCAUGUACCUCCUCUCGGGGAGAACUUAUAGGGGAGACGACAUGCAACCAGCCCGGACUGAGGUCCGCGCAUCUGCUAGGAUGCUGGCGUAAUGGCUGUAAGCGGCCCGUCUUGAAACACGGACCAAGGAGUCUAACAUCUAUGCGAGUGUUUGGGUGUCAAGCCCGAGCGCGUAAUGAAAGUGAACGGAGGUGGGAACCUUUCGGGGUGCACCAUCGACCGAUCCUGAUGUCUUCGGAUGGAUUUGAGUAAGAGCAUAGCUGUUGGGACCCGAAAGAUGGUGAACUAUGCUUGAAUAGGGUGAAGCCAGAGGAAACUCUGGUGGAGGCUCGCAGCGGUUCUGACGUGCAAAUCGAUCGUCAAAUUUGGGCAUAGGGGCGAAAGACUAAUCGAACUAUCUAGUAGCUGGUUCU
rnacentral:rRNA from 1 species